AGCUUUGUUUACUCAGGUGCAAGCGGACGUGUACGCUCGUGUACCCGCCAGGAGGGACCGACACUAGGUCUGGCGGCAGUUCGGCGAAUCAGGAGCCAGUUCGAUCGGGGGAAAGGAAAAAGAACAACGUUUUAAUGAAGCGCUAAAAUUUGACUGUUUUAAAAUCGAUUCGGGUAACGCCGGUAACACCGCUGGAGUUGACGACCGACCGAUGGGUUUGUGAUGUUCGCAGCCGGGUAAAGGAUUUACCGGUCCUUAAGUGUGUGUGUGUGUGCGAAUGAAACGGUGUGAAACGGGGAUGAGGGCCGUUGGAAUGGAACAGGAAAGGGUUCCUGUUUGCUUUUUUGAUUAUAUAUUAAUCAGUUACAUUAGCAAUUUACUCGAUACACUGCUGCAACGUUUCUUUCACUUUCACAACGAAACAUCGCUUGAAAAACUGUCCAAAGAGAUGGAAGAAUUUAAGAGUGUCCCUGGUGGCAGCUUGCGUGGGAAAAGCCGAUCCGAUUGCUCACACCGCUCGCUCCUACACUUCCAUCAACGUACCGUGGCCACGUCCUGUCAGAAACCUCAACCAAACAUCGCUCUACUAGCUCCGGUCGUACGUCGGUAACGCUUCGUAACGCUCCAUAACGCAUCGUUCAAGCGCAAGCUCGUGCGCACGUGAUCGUGAAGAGAAUCGUAAAGAGCGAAGCCGUGUGCUGCGUUUGAAAAAGUGCUGUUGUCGGAAUUGUUGGCAACAGUUCAACUUCCUUUCCCACUCAAUUCAUUGGCGCGCGCGUUGACUGUCGAACACGAAAAACGAAAAGGAGCAAAAGAAUUUCCGACAGCCUUAUAGCAAAUGUGUCACAUUUGUGGCCAGUUGCUAACUUGAGUUUUUUUAGAUUUUGUUUCUUAUAUUCCGUGUGCGGUAUUUGUUUAUUGUUCUUUUAAAGUGUUUUAAUGUUGUGUAAAUGAAAAAGUUUUUAAAGUGAAUGGAAGGGGACGCUAUGAAAAGUAGCUCUCAAAAGUGAUCCACAGUAGAUUAUGAUUCUGAAAGUUUGUCCCAGCUCCAAAGUGUACACAGUGAGCACCAUUAUAGUGGCGAUUGGUCUUCCGACAACGACAAAUAAGUAAGAACAUCAGUGAUUGAUCGGUAGUUCAAAGUAGUUUGCUUCCGUGCUUUGCUUUAAGGUGUUUACCGCCGCAUUUGUGUUGGUGUUUAGUGUCGGGUGCUUAGGGCAAGAACGUAUAACAAGUGUGGUGAGGUGACAUUAUCACCUCGGUUUGAUUUGCUUCGUGUAAUCAGUCAGCGUUAGUCAUCAUAGCUUCCAAAACGGCAUCCGGUAGCGGUUGGCGAGCAAGCAGCAAGGUGUCCCAGGA